rnacentral:rRNA from 1 species
AUACGGAGGGUGCGAGCGUUGUUCGGAAUCACUGGGCGUAAAGGGCGCGCAGGCGGUCUGUCAAGUCAGAUGUGAAAGCCCACGGCUCAACCGUGGACGUGCAUCUGAAACUGGCAGAAUCGAGUACCGGAGGGGAAAGUGGAAUUCCCGGUGUAGAGGUGAAAUUCGUAGAUAUCGGGAGGAAUACCGGAGGCGAAGGCGACUUUCUGGACGGAUACUGACGCUGAGGCGCGAAAGCGUGGGGAGCGAACAGGAUUAGAAACCCGGGUAGUCC